GAUGGCUAAAGCUGUGUUUAGUUUUGUGCAGUUUACAAGAUGGUGGGUAGUCUAUAGCUCUAAGAAGCAAACUCAAACUUGAAGCAAAAAGGUAUAGAAUCAAUUGGUUAGUUUUCAGUCUGAAAUGUAAGUAUAUUUUGCUUGUUAUUGUCGCUGUUUGGAACAUGGUGUACACUAUCUAGGUAUAUAAUAGUACUGGGACUGGCCAGAACAGCUCAGAAUUAGAUUCCACAUUCAGGAUCAUUAAUCAAGUCAUUUUACCUCAAUAGAAUUGUUUGAAAUCCUUUUAGAGCUAGAUUUUAUACUUGUCAUUAUAGUCAUAUUAUGUGCCAUUGACUUUCAGAGACCACAGCAUCCUUAUUUCUUGCUGGAACAACUUUAAACUUCUGGAAUAUAUUCUUCUAGCUACUAUAUUGUUGUAAGCAAUAAAGCAAAUGGACAAGAAGCUGGAGUUGUCUAGAACACUGUACGCAUCCGGUAAAGUCAAGGACAUCAGUUGCUUGCAGUUCUGUUAUAGUUUAUUUAAACUGGUUGAUGUUUUUUAUGGUGAUAAAUAUGUAUGUUCUGUGUAUUGUAUGCAAAUUUCAUAGUAAAACUAUUAAAUGAAAA
rnacentral:lncRNA from 1 species